rnacentral:rRNA from 1 species
GACGAACGCUGGCGGCGUGCUUAACACAUGCAAGUCGAACGAUGAAGCCAGCUUGCUGGUGGAUUAGUGGCGAACGGGUGAGUAACACGUGGGUGAUCUGCCCCAAACUUUGGGAUAAGCCUGGGAAACUGGGUCUAAUACCGAAUAUGACCGAUACUCGCAUGGGUGUUGGUGGAAAGCUCCGGCGGUUUGGGAUGGGCCCGCGGCCUAUCAGCUUGUUGGUGGGGUAAUGGCCUACCAAGGCGACGACGGGUAGCCGGCCUGAGAAGGCGACCGGCCACACUGGGACUGAGACACGGCCCAGACUCCUACGGGAGGCAGCAGUGGGGAAUAUUGCACAAUGGGCGCAAGCCUGAUGCAGCGACGCCGCGUGAGGGAUGACGGCCUUCGGGUUGUAAACCUCUUUCACCAGGGACGAAGCGAAAGUGACGGUACCUGGAGAAGAAGCACCGGCCAACUACGUG